CACAAAGGCUUGGUCCUGACUUUACUGUCAGCUCUAACUAAAUUUACACAUGCGAGUAUCCGCACCCCCGUGAGAAUGCCCGCCAGUUUUCCCACCCGAAAACAAGGAGCCGGUAUCAGGCACAGAUUUAAUGCUAGCCCAUAACACCUUGCUUAGCCACACCCCUAAGGGAAUUCAGCAGUGAUAAACAUUAAGCCAUAAGCGAAAGCUUGACUUAGUUAAAGCUAAGAGAGCCGGUAAAACUCGUGCCAGCUACCGCGGUUAUACGAGAGGCUCAAGUUGACAGAUCAACGGCGUAAAGAGUGGUUAAGGAACCCACCCCACUAAAGUCGAACACCCCCAGAACUGUUAUACGUUCCCGAGGAUAAGAAGCCCCACCACGAAAGUGACUUUAUUACCCCCUGACUCCACGAAAGCUGUGGUACAAACUGGGAUUAGAUACCCCACUAUGCUCAGCCAUAAAUUCUGAUAGACCAUUACAUCCCCUAUCCGCCUGGGUACUACGAGCACCAGCUUAAAACCCGAAGGACUUGGCGGUGCUUUAGAUCCACCUAGAGGAGCCUGUUCUAGAACCGAUAAUCCCCGUUAAACCUCACCCUCCCUUGUUCCUUCCCGCCUAUAUACCGCCGUCGUCAGCUUACCCUGUGAAGGACUGAUAGUAAGCAAAAUUGGCAUAGCCCAAAACGCCAGGUCGAGGUGUAGCGAAUGAGAGGGGAAGAAAUGGGCUACAUUUCCUGAGCACAGGAUAACACGGACAAUGCACUGAAACGUACAUUUAAAGGAGGAUUUAGCAGUAAGCAGAAAAUAGAGUGUUCCGCUGAAACUGGCCCUGAAGCGCGCACACACCGCCCGUCACUCUCCCCGAACUGAAACCAAACAUUUUACCUAAAAGCCCAUAUCAACAAAGGGGAGGCA
rnacentral:ncRNA from 1 species